rnacentral:rRNA from 1 species
GGAAACUGAGGAUAAUACCGGAUAGGCAAUUUUUCCUGUAAUGGUUUUUUGUUUAAAUGUUUUUUUCGCCUAAGGAUGGGUCUGCGGCCGAUUAGGUAGUUGGUUAGGUAAUGGCUUACCAAGCCGUUGAUCGGUACGGGUUGUGAGAGCAAGAGCCCGGAGAUGGAACCUGAGACAAGGUUCCAGGCCCUACGGGGUGCAGCAGGCGCGAAACCUCCGCAAUGUGAGAAAUCGCGACGGGGGGAUCCCAAGUGCCAUUCUUAACGGGAUGGCUUUUCAUUAGUGUAAAGAGCUUUUGGAAUAAGAGCUGGGCAAGACCGGUGCCAGCCGCCGCGGUAACACCGGCAGCUCUAGUGGUAACAAUUUUUAUUGGGCCUAAAGCGUCCGUAGCCGGUUUAAUAAGUCUCUGGUGAAAUCCUGUAGCUUAACUGUGGGAAUUGCUGGAGAUACUAUUAGACUUGAGACCGGGAGAGGUUAGAGGUACUCCCAGGGUAGAGGUGAAAUUCUGUAAUCCUGGGAGGACCGCCUGUUGCGAAGGCGUCUAACUGGAACGGUUCUGACGGUGAGGGACGAAAGUUAGGGGCGCGAACCGGAUUAGAUACCCGGGUAGUCCUAACUGUAAACGAUGCGGACUUGGUGUUGGGGUGGCUUUGAGCUGCUCCAGUGCCGAAGGGAAGCUGUUAAGUCC